GACGAACGCUGGCGGCGUGCUUAACACAUGCAAGUCGAACGGAAAGGCCUUUUUCGCGGGGUACUCGAGUGGCGAACGGGUGAGUAACACGUGAGUAAUCUGCCCUUGACUUUGGGAUAACUUCAGGAAACUGGGGCUAAUACCGGAUAGGAGCCCCUGCUGCAUGGUGGGGGGUGGAGAGUUUUGGCGGUUGGGGAUGGACUCGCGGCUUAUCAGCUUGUUGGUGGGGAAGUGGCAUACCAAGGCGUUGACGGGUAGCCGGCCUGAGAGGGUGACCGGCCACAUUGGGACUGAGAUACGGCCCAGACUCCUACGGGAGGCAGCAGUGGGGAAUAUUGCACAAUGGGUGGAAGCCUGAUGCAGCGACGCCGUGUGCGGGAUGACGGCCUUCGGGUUGUAAACCGCUUUCGCUCGUGACGAAGCUUUUUGUGACGGUAGUGAGUAAAGAAGCACCGGCUAACUACGUG
rnacentral:rRNA from 1 species